rnacentral:lncRNA from 10 species
GAUUAUUGUGGCUGUCACUCAGGUUUUCUGCUCAUUGGUAGACAAAGGGUGAGGAGGUGACUGAAAUUGGAACAGUGGAAGGACCCUUCACCAAAACCUGGAACUUCAGAAGAAUGGCAGGGCUGAAAAUGAUUAGUGUUAAUUCAUUCCAGUUGUGUUACCCUACCCAUAAGGACUGCCUGAAGGAGCCUGAACUUCCACGUGCUGUCUUCCAUAUAAUGUGAUCUGAGG